GUCGAAUGAAGUUAUCUCCACAGUGUUUUAGAAAUAUAUUCAACUAACUAGGCACAAGGGAUGCUGAAAAGAACUAAAAGAUACUGAGUUUCACUAACAACAGCAGGGUUUUAACUGUAAAACGUUGGAUUCAGGAACAUGCAGCAGAGCAAGCACAAGGCUACACCCUUCAGUCGGUGUGGAACAGAGGUGGUUGAAGCAGACCUCCUAUCCUGGUCUGGAUCUCAAGAGGCAAGCAUGCACUCAGACUCUACUAGAUGUGAUGUGACGAGAGCUGGAUGUUUCUCGGGGAUGUUCUUCAGCACUACCACGACAAUCCCUUCUAUCCCGAGAUGGUUG
ensembl:lncRNA